AGAAUCAACGCUGGCGGCGUGCCUAACACAUGCAAGUCGCACGAGAAAGGGACUUCGGUCCUGAGUAAAGUGGCGCACGGGUGAGUAACACGUGAAUCAUCUACCUCCGAGUGGGGAAUAACCUAGAGAAAUCUGGGCUAAUACCGCAUAAUACCCACGGGUCAAAGGAGCAAUUCGCUUGAGGAGGGGGUCGCGGCAGAUUAGUUAGUUGGCGGGGUAAUGGCCCACCAAGACGAUGAUCUGUA
rnacentral:rRNA from 1 species